UUUCCGUAGGUGAACCUGCGGAAGGAUCAUUAAUGAGUUGUCAUGGGGUUCGAUGCUGGCAGCCAGUUUUUGGAUGCAUGUGCUUGCCCUAACAAUCAUCUUCUUCCAAACACCUGUGCACAUUUUUGAGGGAGUCUUGAGUUGGUUGCCGCUCUUGGGUGAUUUUCUCACAUUCCCUUAAAUCAUUAUACGCUAUUAACAAUGUUGAACGUGCUCUGUGCCGCAAGGCCAUUAAUAUAAUACAACUUUUAACAACCGAUCUCUUGGCUCUCACAUCGAUGAAGAACGCAGC
rnacentral:misc_RNA from 1 species